rnacentral:snRNA from 1 species
GUGCUCACUUUGGUGGCAUAUAUACUAAAAAUGGAAUGAUACAGAGAUUAACAUGGCCUCUGUGCAGGGAUGGUACAAAAUUUGUGAAGAAGAAAGAAAGAAA